UACGGAGGGAUCCAAGCGUUAUCCGGAAUCAUUGGGUUUAAAGGGUCCGUAGGCGGUUUGGUAAGUCAGUGGUGAAAGCCCAUCGCUCAACGGUGGAACGGCCAUUGAUACUGCCAGACUUGAAUUAUUAGGAAGUAACUAGAAUAUGUAGUGUAGCGGUGAAAUGCUUAGAGAUUACAUGGAAAUACCAAUUGCGAAGGCAGGUUACUACUAAUGGAUUGACGCUGAUGGACGAAAGCGUGGGUAGCGAACAGG
rnacentral:rRNA from 1 species